rnacentral:rRNA from 1 species
UACGUAGGGUGCGAGCGUUGUCCGGAAUUAUUGGGCGUAAAGAGCUCGUAGGCGGUGUGUCACGUCGGCCGUGAAAACCUGCAGCUUAACUGUGGGCGUGCGGUCGAUACGGGCAUCACUGGAGUUCGGCAGGGGAGACUGGAAUUCCUGGUGUAGCGGUGAAAUGCGCAGAUAUCGGGAGGAACACCGGUGGCGAAGGCGGCCCCCUGGUUGGAUACUGACGCUGAGACGCGAAAGCGUGGGGAGCAAACAGG